rnacentral:sRNA from 1 species
GAGUAGCUGGUAUUACAGGCGUGUGCCACAAAGCCUGGCUAAGUUUUGUAUUUUUAGUAGAGACGGGGUUUCACCAUGUUGGCCAGGUUGGUCUCGAACUCCUGACCUCAAGUGAUCCACUCACUUUGGCCUUUCAACGUGCUGGGAUUACAGGCGAGAGUCACCGCACCCGGACGACUCUGACAUUUUUGAAGAGUCCAGAAUCCUGUUACACCUGGGAUUUAGGCACUUUCAAUCUGAAAAAAUACAUAUCCUUUCAGCACUCUGGACGGACUUGAGAACUGUCCUUACGUGACCUAAAGCUGGAGUAUUUUGAGAUUGGAGAAUUAAGGCCAACAGAGAUUUUGAGAAACACAUUGAAGGAUCUGUUAACACUUGAUAUACCCAAUAAAAGCAGUGGUUGUGCCAGUGCUGAUCUGUCUUGAUGUGAAUGUGAACAAUGGGAACCUGAGCUGAGCAGUUAAUGUUAGGGUGACAGAAACUGGACCUCUCCCAAGACAUGUGACAGAGUAAUACAGCAGCCAACUUCUUCGCCAAAUUAAAGUUUUACAAGAUUUAACCUGUCAUCAAGACCUGGGAUUUUGGUGAGCCAGUCUUGGUGCUCUGUGUUCACCUGGUUCAUCUGAGGAGCUGCAUCUACCCUGCCCAUGCCAUAGAUCCUGCCCUGUUUGCUUCUCCUGUUGCUGCUAGUGGACAUGAGGUAACCACAGCCUAGUUCUGUGAUAAGCUCUUCACACCUGUACCCAUAUGGACUGUGGGAGAGUUUCUCUGAUAUGGACUGUGAUGCGGGACAGAAUAACGGGCUCCCAGAUUCACAAGCCCCACCAAGAGGAUCACCCCAGGAAUGCUUGGAGGCUGAGGAGUUCACUGAGGCUACUGCAUCUUGAGACUCAGGAUGAAGACCCAGCUUGGGGCUGUCAAAGGUUUUUUGCAUGUCUGACACCCAUGACUCCACCUGGACCUUAUGGCUCCACCCAGAAGCAAUUCAGCCCAACAGGAGGACAGCUUCAACCCAUUACGAUUUCAUCUCUGCCCCAACCACUCAGCAGCAAGCACCUGUUACCUGUCCAUCCCCACCCCUUCCCCCAAACUGCCUUUGAAAAAUCCCUAACCUAUGAGCUUUGAAUAAGAUGAGUACGAACUUCAUCGCCCAUGUGGCGUGGCCGGCCUCGUGUCUAUUAAAUUCUUUUUCUACUACAA